UUUGACCUCAAAUCAGNUAGNACUACCCGCUGAACUUAAGCAUAUCAAUAAGCGGA
rnacentral:rRNA from 1 species